UGAGGAAUAUUGGUCAAUGGGCGCGAGCCUGAACCAGCCAAGUAGCGUGCAGGAUGACGGCCCUAUGGGUUGUAAACUGCUUUUGUAUGGGGAUAAAGUCAAUCACGUGUGAUUGUUUGCAGGUACCAUACGAAUAAGGACCGGCUAAUUCCGUGCCAGCAGCCGCGGUAAUACGGAAGGUCCGGGCGUUAUCCGGAUUUAUUGGGUUUAAAGGGAGCGUAGGCCGGAGAUUAAGUGUGUUGUGAAAUGUAGACGCUCAACGUCUGACUUGCAGCGCAUACUGGUUUCCUUGAGUACGCACAACGUUGGCGGAAUUCGUCGUGUAGCGGUGAAAUGCUUAGAUAUGACGAAGAACUCCGAUUGCGAAGGCAGCUGACGGGAGCGCAACUGACGCUGAAGCUCGAAGGUGCGGGUAUCGAACAGGAUUAGAUACCCUGGUAGUCCGCACAGUAAACGAUGGAUGCCCGCUGUUGGUACCUGGUAUCAGCGGCUAAGCGAAAGCAUUAAGCAUCCCACCUGGGGAGUACGCCGGCAACGGUG
rnacentral:rRNA from 1 species